rnacentral:misc_RNA from 1 species
AGGUAGGCAGUGGUUGCCGACCUCGCAUUGUUCGAAAUAUAUAUUUCGUAUAAUGAUUAUAUUGGUUACUUAUAAUAAAGUAUAUUAUUAUCCGUACAAAUUUGUUUCUCAGUUCUUUUUGAACACGGGACUUGGCUCCGCGGAUAAUAGGAAUAUACGCUAUUUUAGAUAAUAUCGUUGAAACAAAAGUCAAGUUUCUAUUAUACAUAGAAUAACAAAUCGUUUCCAUAUAUUAUCGUUAAUUUUUGGUGGCAGGCAAAUAUUAGUUUAUUACCUGCCUGUAAAGUUGGAUUAUUAUAUCGUUACGGUAUAAUACAAAAUGGAUUCAUAUUAUUAUAUGAAAGAAAUAUAAAAUUUAUAUAUAAAUUUGGAAGAAUUAUCAUGUGCGCUCGGUUUUAUGUUAUAUAUUACCAGAGAGUUAUAUGAAAAGAGAUAAAUUUUAAAUUUAUCAUCAAGAUGCAAAUGAUUUAACUUAUAUUUGGUUAAACAAAAAUUGUACAAGUGUGGAUACAAAAUUUAUGUAUGUUGGAAAUAAAAUGAUAUUUUAGAAUGAAAUAUAUGUAUAUAUAAAGACAAAAUUAUAGAAAAUAUAUUACAAUAAUUGUAUGAUCUUCUUGUUAUAUUGGUAAAACAAGUAGAAUUUAAAAAUGGGAAUACGAAUUACGAGUGCUAUAUAAAAAUGGCCGUAUUCGAAUGGAUUUAUUUUUAUAAAUAUAUUUAAAAUUUUUACCCAAAGGCAAAAUAUUGAAUUACAUUCAAUAAUAUAAAAAAAUGGAAUUAUAUAUAAAGUGGAAAAUCUAUAAUAUUUAUAUUGCUUAUUUCAAUUCAAAAAAUAUGAAUGAAAUAUGAAAAGAAAACAUUAUUCUGGUUGAUCCUGCCAGUAGUUAUAUGCUUGUCUCAAAGAUUAAGCCAUGCAUGUCUAAGUACACACGAAUUAAAAGUGAAACCGCAAAAGGCUCAUUAUAUCAGUUAUGGUUCCUUAGAUCGUUAACAGUUACUUGGAUAACUGUGGUAAUUCUAGAGCUAAUACAUGCAAUUAAAACAUGAACCUUAUGGGACGUGUGCUUUUAUUAGGCUAAAACCAAGCGAUCGCAAGAUCGUUAUAUUGGUUGAACUCUAGAUAACAUGCAGAUCGUAUGGUCUUGUACCGACGACAGAUCU